GACGAACGCUGGCGGCGUGCCUAAUACAUGCAAGUGGGACGCAAGGAAACACACUGUGCUUGCACACCGUGUUUUCUUGAGUCGCGAACGGGUGAGUAACGCGUAGGUAACCUGCCUAUUAGCGGGGGAUAACUAUUGGACACGAUAGCUAAUACCGCAUAAUAUUAAUUAUUGCAUGAUAAUUGAUUGAAAGUUGCAAGCGCAUCACUAGUAGAUGGACCUGCGUUGUAUUAGCUAGUUGGUAAGGUAAGAGCUUACCAAGGGGACGAUACAUAGCCGACCUGAGAGGGGGAUCGGCCACACUGGGACUGGAGCACGGCCCAGAAUCCUACGGGAGGCAGCAGGAGGGGAUCUUCGGCAAUGGACGAAAGGCUGACCGAGCAACGCCGCGUGAGUGAAGAAGGUUUUCGGAUCGUAAAGCUCUGUUGUAAGUCAAGAACGUGUGUGAGAGUGGAAAGUUCACACAGUGACGGUAGCUUACCAGAAAGGGACGGCUAACUACGUG
rnacentral:rRNA from 1 species